rnacentral:rRNA from 1 species
UACGGAGGGAGCUAGCGUUGUUCGGAAUUACUGGGCGUAAAGCGCACGUAGGCGGCUUUGUAAGUUAGAGGUGAAAGCCCGGGGCUCAACCCCGGAAUUGCCUUUAAGACUGCAUCGCUUGAAUCCGGGAGAGGUGAGUGGAAUUCCGAGUGUAGAGGUGAAAUUCGUAGAUAUUCGGAAGAACACCAAUGGCGAAGGCGGCUCACUGGACCGGUAUUGACGCUGAGGUGCGAAAGCGUGGGGAGCAAACAGG